GAGGUGGGCAAGUUAGUUGCUCCAAAAACAAGAUAAAAUGAUUGAGUUCUUUUCUCAAGCGGGAGUCGGAGUUUAUCUGCUCUGAGAUGCCUCCCACAUUGCCUGUGACUUUACAGAAGCUUGGAGUCUAAAUUAUGUGGCUGCUAUUAGUAACAACUUUGAGACCGAAGGCUAUUGGGCUAUUGGCUCCACCAUGGGCACCACUAGCUUUAAACUCAAACAGACAGAUGAGACCACUUGAACCUUGGCAGUUACCAGUUCAGAGGAGCAGCCUAACCCAGCCACUCCACAGCUGCAAUUUGAGAGCAUCUAGAGGACACCACAUAAAUCUUUUCACCUGGUCCCUGCUACCACAGAUGAAACCUCCUCAAUGCCCCCAAGAAGCCAUCUUGGGCAGGAAAAAGAGAUGCUCCAGAUGGUUUUCUUACAGAGAAACUUCAUUUCAUGCUUGCAGUUGUUUAUUCCCAUGCAUCUAACUCUCGGCCAGGCACUGAAACAGAGCCCCAGCAGCUACUAUUAAUGAGUGUCUGGAAUAUGUUCCUGGCAUUUCACCUACCCUCUCUCCAAUCCUUCCAAGAAACUCACAAAGCAGGGCUUUUUCUUGAACUUCUCUUCCUCACAACAGUUAAAUCAUCCAUUUAAAGAUGUCAAACAACCUCCGUGUUCUAAGAUGCUGGACCCCUGAAUAUGGAGGGCCAACUACACUAGAAACACACACGCUAGCUGAGAAAGAUGGUGGCUUAAGGGUAA
rnacentral:lncRNA from 1 species